GGUAGAUCUGGUGUCAGUCACUGGGUUCUUUCCCCUUUGUCUUUCAGCCCUACCCCAGUGGAGCUGAAACAGCCCCCUCUCCACCAGUCUGCCAACAGUGAGGACAUUGCCCUCAACAUGACCUUUGACAUCAUCACCCCUGACCCGGUGUAUAAAAGGUUGUCACAGGUCCCAUCCAAGAAGAUGCGUCUGGACCCAGCCGCCUUGUCGUCCUCACCGACCAAACACCAAGACAAAGCCUCGUUUGGAAGCCAGAGAGGAGGCGGAGCCCAUGGAUACCUCCUUCCGUAACGCCAACCUGUUCAAUAAGAAAACCUUCGGCAGCAUGCUGGACCCCAAGAUGAUUCAACUGGGAGCUCUAGGUUUAACCUGACUCUGUCUUGUUCUUGUCAACGAUAUGACAAGGUCAGAAGUGGUUACAGUAGACUUGGGGGAAGAACCAAAUUCUUCCAGCCUUCUCUUUUGUCAGAGAUUCACCCGCUCAUGAUGAAGGCCAAGAUGAAAAAAUGGUUCCCGACCAGCUCCUCCCAAGAUCUCCAUCUGCCUUACGCUUAACAGUUUUCUGGAGUGACCUGUGACCUUUCCAUACCUGACUGAUGCAUGUGUGUCAGUUGCACCUCUGACACUAGGGACCAGCCCGUCUGGGGCAAUAUAGAGGAGCAACCUGAAUAGGUUUACCGGUCAGGUAAAAAAUAACUUGGACAUCUUGAGGGCCUGCUCCAAGCUUUGGGCAUGAAUGGGCAUAGCUGCUAGUUUGAUGAAAAUAUUUAAUUUGGUUUAUUGAGACUUCAUUUGGCUCAUGAAACCCCCUGUCUGUUUAGUAAUUUUGUGUUGAGACAUUUCAUUUUUGUCUGGUUUAUAAUUUUGAGUGUGAGGAAGAGUUAUCUGCUGACUGAAAUAUAUCAUUACUAGCAUCUGUGACAUGUCAGGCAUUUGACUCGGUUGCACAUUACACAAAUCCAAAUUUUAGCCAUCUUUCACACUUGAACAUUUCUUGUUUUACUUACUGUCUGAAUAUUGUAAUACAGCAUUGUAUUGAAUAUUUUGAAGUUGUUUCCCAUUUGGGGCGGAAGGUAGCCUAGUGGUUAGAGCGUUGGGCCAGUAACCGAAAGGUUGCUAGAGCGACUCCCCGAGC